GACGAACGCUGGCGGCGUGCCUAAUACAUGCAAGUCGAGCGAAGCGGCGGAUGGGUGAGUAACGCGUGGGUAACCUGCCCUUAAGGCUGGGAUACAAUUUGGAAAAAGAUGCUAAUACCGGAUACUAAAGGACGGACCUGACAUGACUUAGCUAGUUGGUAAGGUAACGGCCUACCAAGGCGAUGAUGCAUAGCCGAGUUGAGAGACUGAUCGGCCACAUUGGGACUGAGACACGUCCCAAACUCCUACGGGAGGCAGCAGUAGGGAAUCUUCCACAAUGGACGAAAGUCUGAUGGAGCAACGCCGCGUGAGUGAAGAAGGUUUUCGGAUCGUAAAGCUCUGUUGUUGGUGAAGCGGUAAUCAACCAGAAAGUCACGGCUAACUCCGUGCCAGCAGCCGCGGUAAUAC
rnacentral:rRNA from 1 species